GGCUCGUUGGUCUAGGGGUAUGAUUCUUGCUUUGGGUGUGAGAGGUUCCGGGUUCAAAUCCUGGACGAGCCC
rnacentral:tRNA from 1 species